AAAUUGAAGAGUUUGAUCAUGGCUCAGAUUGAACGCUGGCGGCAGGCCUAACACAUGCAAGUCGAGCGGAAACGAGUUAUCAAAGCCUUCGGGUGGCGAUAACGGCGUCGAGCGGCGGACGGGUGAGUAAUGCCUAGGAAAUUGCCCUGAUGUGGGGGAUAACCAUUGGAAACGAUGGCUAAUACCGCAUGAUGCCUACGGGCCAAAGAGGGGGACCUUCGGGCCUCUCGCGUCAGGAUAUGCCUAGGUGGGAUUAGCUAGUUGGUGAGGUAAGGGCUCACCAAGGCGACGAUCCCUAGCUGGUCUGAGAGGAUGAUCAGCCACACUGGAACUGAGACACGGUCCAGACUCCUACGGGAGGCAGCAGUGGGGAAUAUUGCACAAUGGGCGCAAGCCUGAUGCAGCCAUGCCGCGUGUAUGAAGAAGGCCUUCGGGUUGUAAAGUACUUUCAGUCGUGAGGAAGGUAGUGUAGUUAAUAGCUGCAUUAUUUGACGUUAGCGACAGAAGAAGCACCGGCUAACUCCGUGCCAGCAGCCGCGGUAAUACGGAGGGUGCGAGCGUUAAUCGGAAUUACUGGGCGUAAAGCGCAUGCAGGUGGUUUGUUAAGUCAGAUGUGAAAGCCCGGGGCUCAACCUCGGAAUAGCAUUUGAAACUGGCAGACUAGAGUACUGUAGAGGGGGGUAGAAUUUCAGGUGUAGCGGUGAAAUGCGUAGAGAUCUGAAGGAAUACCGGUGGCGAAGGCGGCCCCCUGGACAGAUACUGACACUCAGAUGCGAAAGCGUGGGGAGCAAACAGGAUUAGAUACCCUGGUAGUCCACGCCGUAAACGAUGUCUACUUGGAGGUUGUGGCCUUGAGCCGUGGCUUUCGGAGCUAACGCGUUAAGUAGACCGCCUGGGGAGUACGGUCGCAAGAUUAAAACUCAAAUGAAUUGACGGGGGCCCGCACAAGCGGUGGAGCAUGUGGUUUAAUUCGAUGCAACGCGAAGAACCUUACCUACUCUUGACAUCCAGAGAACUUUCCAGAGAUGGAUUGGUGCCUUCGGGAACUCUGAGACAGGUGCUGCAUGGCUGUCGUCAGCUCGUGUUGUGAAAUGUUGGGUUAAGUCCCGCAACGAGCGCAACCCUUAUCCUUGUUUGCCAGCGAGUAAUGUCGGGAACUCCAGGGAGACUGCCGGUGAUAAACCGGAGGAAGGUGGGGACGACGUCAAGUCAUCAUGGCCCUUACGAGUAGGGCUACACACGUGCUACAAUGGCGCAUACAGAGGGCGGCCAACUUGCGAAAGUGAGCGAAUCCCAAAAAGUGCGUCGUAGUCCGGAUUGGAGUCUGCAACUCGACUCCAUGAAGUCGGAAUCGCUAGUAAUCGUGGAUCAGAAUGCCACGGUGAAUACGUUCCCGGGCCUUGUACACACCGCCCGUCACACCAUGGGAGUGGGCUGCAAAAGAAGUAGGUAGUUUAACCUUCAGGGGGACGCUUACCACUUUGUGGUUCAUGACUGGGGUGAAGUCGUAACAAGGUAGCGCUAGGGGAACCUGGCGCUGGAUCACCUCCUUAUGCGAUGAU
rnacentral:rRNA from 1 species